rnacentral:rRNA from 1 species
UAAGGAAUAUUGGUCAAUGGGCGCAAGCCUGAACCAGCCAUGCCGCGUGCAGGAAGACGGCCCUAUGGGUUGUAAACUGCUUUUGUCAGGGAAUAAACCCCCGCUCGUGAGCGGGGCUGAAGGUACCUGAAGAAUAAGCAUCGGCUAACUACGUGCCAGCAGCCGCGGUAAUACGGAGGAUGCGAGCGUUAUCCGGAUUCAUUGGGUUUAAAGGGUGCGCAGGCGGAUUGGUAAGUCAGGGGUGAAAUCCCACAGCUCAACUGUGGAACUGCCCUUGAUACUGUCAGUCUAGAGUAUAGUUGAAGUGGGCGGAAUGUGUCAUGUAGCGGUGAAAUGCUUAGAUAUGACACAGAACACCGAUCGCGAAGGCAGCUCGCUAAGCUAUAACUGACGCUCAUGCACGAAAGCGUGGGGA